rnacentral:rRNA from 1 species
AACGAACGCUGGCGGCAUGCCUAACACAUGCAAGUCGAACGAAGCCUUCGGGCUUUGUGGCGCACGGUGGCGUAACGCGUGGGAAUCUGCCCCUUGCUUCGCUAUCACAGAUAGAAAUGUCUGCUAAUACCGGAUGAAGUCUUCCGACCUAAGAUUUAUCGGCAAGGGAUGGGGACGCGUAGGAUUCGGUUGUUGGUGUGGUAAAGGCCUACCAAGCCGACGAUCCUUAGCUGGUCUGAGGGGAUGAUCAGCCACACUGGGACUGAGACACGGCCGAGACUCCUACGGAAGGCAGCAAGGGGGAAUAUUGGACGAUGGACGCGAGUCUGAGCCAGCAGGGCCGCGUAAGUGAUUUAGGCGUUAGGAUUGUAAAGCUCUUUUACAAGGGAUGAUAAUGACGGUACCUGGAGAAUAAGCGCCGGCUAACUCCGUG